UAGAUCUGACAUUCAAAUGUUUAAUAGACUUUUGUGCUAACCACUAACAUUAGUAUAAACAAAUCCAAAUGAAAUAAACACAUGGGCAAUGACAGAUCAAACAAACAAUCAGAUUUAGAUCACAAAAUUGUAAGCCAAUAACAAAACAAAAGAUGUAACGACUGAUGCAAAAACAAAGGAUGUAUAUAACAAAAAGAGAAGAGUUGAGAGUUACUGUAAAACUUGUCUCUUCCCAUUCACUCGUUGUAACAAGGUCAGAGACUGAAAUAUAGCAUUGAAACAUAAGAGGACAUUUGGGGGAGGCAUACAUAGACCAACAGAAAAACUGCUCAUAUACAGCUCGAAAGGAUUCUCUAUAAAUUACCAUUUGGCUAUUGUAUUUGCCAGUUAUUGAAGGCUAGGUACAUCUACAGUCAAACUUUAAAUUAUGCCUGUAUAUUGUACUUUGACUAAAACAAAAAAAAUUGAACAUAAAAAAAAUCACAGAACCAACAAACAAAAAUAGAAAGUUAAAAUCUAAAAAAAAAAUAAAAACACUCCUUUUCUCUAACACACUAGUUAUGAAGACAUUUAUUUUUGUAUGGCUUGUCAAUUAAGACUACACUAAAAAAAAAAAAUAGUUAUGGAAGUUUUGUAGUUUUUUUUUUUAAAAGUAAGUUUGAACUUAAAAAAAAACACACAAAUGUUUCUCAGCUCAUGGCUUGACUAAAGGGUUGCCCACUUCUUAGGAUGAAAACAUAAUCUUUAUGAACUAGCCAGUCACUUGUGGUGCUGGAGCUAAUCCUUCACUGGCCUGUCUACAAAUAUGGCUUGGUGUACUAGUCCCAAAUUUGCAAACAAUUCACAUACAAGGCAUAAGAAUAUGCUAGUUAUGACACAUAGUCUCAAUGAAGCCAGAAUGCACUGGGACAUCAUAGAGAAGAUUGGGGGGGGGUUUUUUGUUAAUAAAUCAUUUUAUUGCUUUAGAUGUAUAUAUUUAUAAUUAUAUAAAUGUGUACGCAUUUAAGAUUUAGUAUUAUAUCAAUGAGAGAGAUUGUAUAUAUUAACAGUAAAUCAUUAACACUAAGUAAAACUCACCUUAUUGUCUGUAAAAAUUGUAACAUAUUUAAACAAUAAAACAGACUUGCAACUUACAAAAUAGUCGUAAGUUGUUUACAUUGAAUACUUAGAAAUUUUUUUCAGACACUCAACACAAUAGAAAUCAUUUAUUGUAUAUUACAUAUGUAUAUGUAUAUAAUAGUUUUAUAUCAAUAUUAUAACAAGCUUCACCAGAGUAUUAAACUACAAGUGGUAUAGAACUAAUUCUAACAGGAGGAUGUAAUGGGAAUUUUUUUUUAGUCGUUACAGUUUCUUAAGGUCAACAGACAUGAAGGCUACUGAUAAGUACAGUAGAACUGAAAUCUUAUAUCCAAUGAUUAUUACUGAGUGACUCUUCCAACCAAGCAGUGCUCUAGAUGGUCUAGUCACAUUAACCUGCAUUCAUAGAGUGAACAGAUUAGUUAAAUAACUAGAUUUCACUAAAUGCACAAAUUAAAAUUCCACAAUGCGGCUAAACCCACUGUAUAAGUACCGGUACUCAAAAUGUACAUGCCCUACAAAAAAAAAAAGGAUUUUUUAACAAGAGUGCAAAUAGAAUAUCUAUUUAAAGGAAAUUGAAUCAAACAACAUUCAAUAUAACAUUUUGUGAACAUGGCAAUAAGACAUGGUAAUAUGACAUGAUAAUGACAUUAUUUGAAUGAAAGAAUAAAAAACAAUUCAAUUAACAGAACAUCUUAUAUACACAUUAAAGGUCUUUGAGUUGCAUGUCAAAUACAAAGCACAACAUGACAAUAUGUUAGCUUGAAUCAGUUUCCUGAAGGGGACAGACUUAAAGCACACAGCUAAAGCUUUGCUUACAAUUUUGUACAAAAUUUAUAAUGACAAUUUCAAAACAAAAGUUAUGAAAUUAUGCCUUGUCUACAAAAAAAAAAAAAACUGACAUGAGCACAAGUAUUUCAGAAAAUAAAUACAU